UGGGGAAUUUUGGACAAUGGGCGCAAGCCUGAUCCAGCCAUGCCGCGUGUCUGAAGAAGGCCUUCGGGUUGUAAAGGACUUUUGUCAGGGAAGAAAAGGGCGGGGUUAAUACCCCUGUCUGAUGACGGUACCUGAAGAAUAAGCACCGGCUAACUACGUGCCAGCAGCCGCGGUAAUACGUAGGGUGCGAGCGUUAAUCGGAAUUACUGGGCGUAAAGCGGGCGCAGACGGUUACUUAAGCAGGAUGUGAAAUCCCCGGGCUCAACCUGGGAAGUGCGUGCUGAACUGGGUGACUAGAGUGUGUCAGAGGGAGGUAGAAUUCCACGUGUAGCAGUGAAAUGCGUAGAGAUGUGGAGGAAUACCGAUGGCGAAGGCAGCCUCCUGGGAUAACACUGACGUUCAUGCCCGAAAGCGUGGGUAGCAAACA
rnacentral:rRNA from 1 species